CAACGACAAACAACUCAAAAUGGCAUUUAAAUGGUCAACCAGUCAAUCGGUGGCCCAAAGCUCCUCCUGAAAGUUGUGUACACCUGAUCAGCAAAUGAGGUUCAACUGGUUAUCAAAUCUAAGCGUUCUGUUAACAUUGUUGGAACGUUUGUUUUUAACUGGGAUGAAGGCCACAGUUUAAUCUAAUUAAAGGAGAAUAGUUGCAAAGUGCUCAGCAGCCUUUUCUCCUCCACAGACUUCUGUAGUUCAGCUUGUGGGUCCGUUUCAUGUUCUCACAGUGAAUCUUCUGUUUUGUUUCCCUGCAGCUGAAAGACAAAGAGCGACAAGUGAUCAAAGACAAAUUCAAGGGUUUCAAUGACGGUCUAGAGGAGCUCUGUAAGAUCCAGAAAGGCUGGGCGAUACCGGACAAAGAGCAGCGAGACUUCAUCCGACAGGCUCAGAAGAAGGUGGUUUCUGACGCCUACAGAGCUUUUCUGCACAGAUGCGCCAACAUUUCCUUCACCAAGAACCCGGAGAAGUACCACAAGUACCGACCGGAGGAGGUGGAGGAGAUGAUCGAGAAGCUGUUCGACACGUCCGCCUGAGCUGCACCUUCAUCAGACAAACAUCCACCCAGAAGAAAAACCGCCUCCUUCAGCUGAAACCUCCUGAACGUGUCUGAAGAAUGUUUUGUACAGAGCAGUGAACGCCAUGUAUUUAUGUAAUGGAGCCGCUCCGGCUUCGAAUAAAGGGAAUCUGAGAGAAAGUA